GGUUCUGUGGUGUAGUGGUUAACACUUAGGACUUUGAAUCCAAUGACCUGGGUUCAACUCCCGGUAGGACCU